rnacentral:lncRNA from 1 species
CAACCUCCCAAAGUGCUGGGAUUACAGGCAUGAGCCACCGAGCCCGGCUGCAUACUUUUAUACUUUGUAAGUAUUAGUACUUAGUGGAGCUGACAAUCACAAUGCUACCUCCUGCCCCCUUCUACCCCACACAAAUGGAUGCAUGACCCAUCAGGCCAGGCAAAGGACUCCAUCAUCCUGACCAAAGUGAUUAGUUCAGGUGUGGGUUUGUGACCUAAGCAAAGCCAAUCAUAAUCUUCUGCUCAAAGCUCUCUUGCUUUUGAGGUUAAUGUGCUAAGAGGAUAUGAGAUUGAAGCUGCUGGCACCCAGCUCUCCCUGCCACAGGGCAGAGAAUGGGGCCAAGGCAUAAAGAGAAGCAGAGCUCUGAGAAAUGGAAUGAGAGAGACCUGAUGACAUUGUUUGAGCCCCUGAGAUGAGCCUUGCCUGAGAUGGCAAAAUCUUAAGAAGUCAUAUCCAGACCUGAGCAAGAAUUGCCCAUCACCAAGGGACCCUGGACUGAGGACUCAAUAAAGCAACUGGAUGUAAUUCUGUUUUAUCUCCCCUUGGGAAAUAGGUGAAUGUGGUUUUUGUUGGGUCUAUGAUUAUUGCAUUGUCAGGCAGGCACAUUUUUGAAAUUGUAUGUUUGUCAAGAAAAGUAUAGGUGGAUGCAAUAAAGGGUGGGAUAUAGUGGGUGCAUUUCAUUUAUCUGCCCAUCAUCUCUUCCUUAGGGACCCAUUUCUCCCCUUCCACACAGUCCUGAUGAAGUUGUCAAUUAUGGUGGCCUACUCUUCUAUCCUAGUGGUGGGCAUGUGUCCAAAGCUGGCCAAAGUCCUCCCUGGGAUUUUAGAACUAGAACUAAUGAGGCCAACAUAUGGAAGGAAGCAGAGCCAAGAGAUGGAGACAUCAUCCUUUGAACCCCUAGAUCCAGCCAUGCUUCAAGGCAGAUACAUGCUUUGAUUUAUCAGUUAUGUAAAUCAAUUAAUUUCCAAUUGGCCUAAACAUGUUUGAGUUGGGUUUUUGACACUUGCAACUGAAAAGGUCCAGACUAAUACAUGCACACAGAGAGACACAAACACCAUAUUGUUCAAGCUCAUCAGACAUUAUAUAAGUCUUCCAUGAUCUUACCAGGGGUCAGCAAACUUUUUGUCUAAAGGACAAGAUAGAUAGAUAUUUUAGGCUGUGUGGGCCAUAUGUGGUCUCCGUUUCACUUUCUUGUUUUGUUUUGACGACCCUUCAAAAAUGUAAAAAAAAUUAUUAGUUUGGUAGUUCAUACAAAAAUAGGCCACAGGCCAGAUUUGGCCCACAAGCCAUAGUUUGCCAACCCCUGAUCUAGACCAUGUCAAACCCUGAAGCUUUGGAAUCACACAGUCUGCCAGUCCUUAGCCCAUACUCUAAAGUAUGAAGCCAGAUAUUUUAAAUGUCAUUUUGGUUCAAGUGUCUUGACAUGACUUGGUAAUGGUAAGGUUCAGGGUAGAGUUAGGAACGGGAAAAGGGUCUUAUCUUGUGCCCAUUAUCUGCCAUAUAACAGGUACUGAAUAAAUGGUAAUUAUUAUUAUUUCUUGGUAAUAAAGAUAAUUUUUCAAAAUGA